UAUUUUGCAGGCGUGUUUAUAGCAGUUUCUUUGCAAAGUCUGACUCUGGAAGUUUAAUUGCUCUUCAGUGAGAAUUGAUGCUCUCAGCUCAUUAUGGGAGCUAGUGUCUUGGCUGCUGCUCUUUUGUGUGGUAUUAUAAAACAGGGCUGCACGAGAGCUUUGGAAACACAAACAUCUUGGCUCUGCUGAAUUCCUGGGCAGAAGUAGAAUGGCAGCCAUGCUGAACGUGUCUGAGCAAUCUCAGGAGGAAAGCAGAACUGGGGUAAUCUAAACAGACAGCAGGAAAAGCACAGUACUGUCACAUUGCUGAAGUUGCAGGGCGGUGGGCAGAGGGGCAGUGUGAG